rnacentral:lncRNA from 1 species
CAUCCCUCUUCAUGUAUGAAUAGAUUGUGUCACAAUCUUGGGGCCCUUUUCUAGUAUUUCCAGAUCUGUGCAAUAUAGAACUUGAGCUCCCACCUUGUUGAAAUUUACUAAGGCUCCCUAGUAAGUCCUUUUUGAAAUCAUUAAGUACUUCUUGUAAUCGGUUCUCAAUUCUAAUUUCCAAUGCUUCCAUUUGUGCUUUCACUGAGUUAUCGGUGGCCAUUUCGUAAGACUGCAAAUCUGUAAUCUCAACUCCUAUUUUUGGUGUUAGUCAAGGGCAUCAAUCACUGCCCUAUUCGGUGCUGCUGUUGUGAUG